AAACUUACCUGGCAGGGAAGACACCAUGAUCAAGCAGGUGGAUUUCCCAGGGCUAGGCUCAUCCCUUGCACUCUGGGUGUGCUGACCCCUGCGAUUUCCCCAAAUGCAGGAAACUUGACUGCAUAAUUUGUGGUAGUGGGAUUUUUUUUUUCUUUUUCAAUUUUG
rfam:Amazona aestiva scaffold_450, whole genome shotgun sequence.